UUUAACAUAAGAGUUUGAUCCUGGCUCAGGAUGAACGCUGGCGGCGUGCUUAACACAUGCAAGUCGAACGAAGAUAUUAAGAAUGAGAGCUUCGGCAGGAUUUCUUUCUAUCUUAGUGGCGGACGGGUGAGUAACGUGUGGGCAACCUGCCCUGUACUGGGGAAUAAUCACUGGAAACGGUGACUAAUACCGCAUGUGGUCCUUGGGAGGCAUCUUCUGAGGAAGAAAGGAUUUAUUCGGUACAGGAUGGGCCCGCAUCUGAUUAGCUAGUUGGUGAGAUAACAGCCCACCAAGGCGACGAUCAGUAGCCGACCUGAGAGGGUGAUCGGCCACAUUGGGACUGAGACACGGCCCAAACUCCUACGGGAGGCAGCAGUGGGGAAUAUUGCACAAUGGGGGAAACCCUGAUGCAGCAACGCCGCGUGAAGGAAGAAGGUUUUCGGAUCGUAAACUUCUAUCAAUAGGGAAGAAAUCAAUGACGGUACCUAAAUAAGAAGCCCCGGCUAACUACGUGCCAGCAGCCGCGGUAAUACGUAGGGGGCAAGCGUUAUCCGGAAUUACUGGGUGUAAAGGGAGCGUAGGCGGCAUGGUAAGCCAGAUGUGAAAGCCUUGGGCUUAACCCGAGGAUUGCAUUUGGAACUAUCAAGCUAGAGUACAGGAGAGGAAAGCGGAAUUCCUAGUGUAGCGGUGAAAUGCGUAGAUAUUAGGAAGAACACCAGUGGCGAAGGCGGCUUUCUGGACUGAAACUGACGCUGAGGCUCGAAAGCGUGGGGAGCGAACAGGAUUAGAUACCCUGGUAGUCCACGCCGUAAACGAUGAGUGCUAGGUGUUGGGGAGGAAUCCUCGGUGCCGCAGUUAACACAAUAAGCACUCCACCUGGGGAGUACGACCGCAAGGUUGAAACUCAAAGGAAUUGACGGGGGCCCGCACAAGCGGUGGAGCAUGUGGUUUAAUUCGAAGCAACGCGAAGAACCUUACCAAGGCUUGACAUCCCGAUGAC
rnacentral:rRNA from 1 species